rnacentral:rRNA from 1 species
AUUGAACGCUGGCGGCAGGCCUAACACAUGCAAGUCGGACGGUAGCACAGAGGAGCUUGCUCCUCGGGUGACGAGUGGCGGCCGGGUGAGUAAUGUCUGGGGUUCUGCCCGAUAGAGGGGGAUAACCACUGGAAACGGUGGCUAAUACCGCAUAACGUCGCAAGACCAAAGAGGGGGACCUUCGGGCCUCUCACUAUCGGAUGAACCCGGAUGGGAUUAGCUAGAAGGCGGGGUAACGGCCCACCUAGGCGACGAUCCCUAGCUGGUCUGAGAGGACGACCAGCCACACUGGAACUGAGACACGGUCCAGGCUCCUACGGGAGGCAGCAGUGGGGAAGAUUGCACAAUGGGCGCAAGCCUGAUGCAGCCAUGCCGCGUGUAUGAAGAAGGCCUUCGGGUUGUAAAGUACUGUCAGCGGGGAGGAAGGCGAUGUGGUUAAUAACCGCGUCGAUUGACGUUACCCGCAGAAGAAGCACCGGCUAACUCCGUGCCAGCCGCCGCCGUAA